AACUUGGAAGUGAUGGAGCCAUGUUCCACUCCUGGUGUGUCUGAUGCAAAGCCCAGCGACUGACCAAGUGGCUCCUGCAGAAAGCUCCAAGGCUCCAGGGGAAAAGCACCUCAGCAGACACAGGCCUUGCCAUGUGGUGUCGGGAAGAACAGAGCCCCAGGGGACCUGAGCCUCACAGUGACUGGCAAAGGCAGGUGCUGUUGCCAAGCCAGGUCUAACAGUAGAUGCCACACAGCUGUAGCUGUCAGCAAGUCAUGCUGCGUGACAAAUCAGCAAAAAUGGAGCUCGGGAAAUGCUGUCACUUCCCUCCAUUAAUGCAAGAGCCAUGGACAAGUCCCUACAUUGUCACUGCUCCAAAUUACACCUGAGAUUGAUAAUAGAGUACCCUGUGCAAAGGA